UUCAAGAUGUGAUUUUGAAAAUGCAUGUUGAACAUACGAUUUCAAUUGCCCAAGUCUCAAAUCCCUAAUCCCUAUUUGAAAUCUAUCUUCAGCUUCUCACGGUGAACUGAAUUAACUCCAUCGUCGUUUUCCUCCACACCGGCCUUGCAAUCCCACCUUUGAUUUCGAUCUUCAAAAGGCCUUGCAAUCUAAGAUCAAACACAAACAAUCUUCUAAUCGCUUUCAGGCAUCACAACUUUCAUUUGUACCUGUUCCUAGUGCUCAACAUGAAAAAAAGUAAAUAUGUUGUCCAGAAAAGAGGAAUAGGUAGUGCACAAGUGUCAAUUGGCCUUACAUUUUUGGCAAAAUGUUACAAUUUAUCAAAUUUACUGCUUUCAACCUGGCAAUUGUGGUUUGUUUGAUUGUUGAAAAUACUAUUUAUUGUAUAUUUUGCCUAAAUAUAAGAGGAUACUUUCAACUAUGUACCUAGGAUACCUAAAAUUUUGUAUUUAGAAGAAGAAAAAUUUAUGUAUAAUUGAAUAUUAUUUGCAACAUAAUUAAUCAAAUUUUAUGUGAUUAUGAACAAAGUUAUGUAUAAUGCUCAAAACUUUUUCCACAAGUUCUUUAAAUCUGUCAAUGAAAUUGCAACUUCAAAAUCUAAUUUCACUACAAAAUCAGGUUUUUAAGAUGCGAUUUCAAAAUCGCAUCUUCAACAUGCGAUUUCUUUACGUCAUGUUGACCCCUCAUGACACCUCAUUACAUAUCAACAAUAACUGAGGGAGACAUGUCAACAUGAAACUGUAAGUUGAAGUUGCCAUUUCAAGAUGAAAUCACAUGUUCAAAAAAGAAGUUAGUUUGAUAAAUAAUUUCAGAAGUGAGUUAUUUUUAUAAAUAAUUUUAUUUUUUGGAAAAUUCAGAAAAAAAAAAAAUUACUUUGCUCUAAAUCUACAAUAAAUGCAUAUAAAAAAGGGCAAGAGAGUGGUGUCUGAAUGAAAUUUGCUAAAUCUAGAACAAUUGUCUACAAAAGCUUAUAACCACGCGUUGAGAACCAUAUCUGAUCACGUUAAUGAAUACAAUCAUGCAUGAAUUUGUGCGAGAUAGCUUAGAGUUCGUCCAUGGCUUUAUGACUUCACAACUAAAACAACAAUUUGGUGCGUGGAGUUCAAGAACUUAGAGCGGCUAUCAAUCUACAAUUCGCAGGAUGCUAUUCAAUUUCUUGGCAACCAAACAAAAUCUUUCCAACAUGCCCAGAAUCCAAGUAGCUAUAGUUAAAUUUGAAAUAGCACCCAUAGCACAAACUCCUUUUAAAGGAUGUAAUGUAGCAACUGAACACAAACAGUCCCCAACUAUGCUUAUAGAAAGCAUGCAAGUGAAAUUUCCCAGUCAAAAAAAAAAAAAAAAAAAAAAAAAAAAAACAAAAAAAAAAAAAAACGAAAAA